rnacentral:rRNA from 1 species
UACGUAGGGUGCAAGCGUUGUCCGGAAUUAUUGGGCGUAAAGAGCUCGUAGGCGGUCUGUCGCGUCGAAUGUGAAAACCCGGGGCUCAACUCCGGGCCUGCAUUCGAUACGGGCAGACUAGAGUUCGGUAGGGGAGACUGGAAUUCCUGGUGUAGCGGUGAAAUGCGCAGAUAUCAGGAGGAACACCGGUGGCGAAGGCGGGUCUCUGAGCCGAUACUGACGCUGAGGAGCGAAAGCGUGGGGAGCGAACAGG